GACGAACGCUGGCGGCGUGCUUAACACAUGCAAGUCGAACGGAAAGGCCCUGCUUUUGUGGGGUGCUCGAGUGGCGAACGGGUGAGUAACACGUGAGUAACCUGCCCUUGACUGUGGGAUAACUUCAGGAAACUGGGGCUAAUACCGGAUAGGAGCUCCUGCUGCAUGGUGGGGGUGGGAAAGUUUCGGCGGAUGGGGAUGGACUCGCGGCUUAUCAGUUUGUGGGUGGGGUAGUGGAAUACCAAGGCUUUGACGGGUAGACGGCCUUGGGGGGUGACCGGCCACCUUGGUACUGAGGUACGGCCCAGUCUCCUACGGGAGGCAGCAGUGGGGAAUCUUGCACAAUGGUCGGAAGCCUGAUGCAGCAGCGCCGCGUGCGGGAUGUCGGCCUUCGGGUUGUAAACCGCUUUCGCCUGUGACGAAGCGUGAGUGACGGUAAUGGGUAAAGAAGCACCGGCUAACUACGUG
rnacentral:rRNA from 1 species